CAAGAAUGUUAUCUAACAUGUUUUUGUCAAAGAAGUAAGGAGUAUACCUGAUAAGAAGAUGAACAAAUACAUAUAAGAUAACAGGGAGAAAAAUAAAGUAAAGUAAAGACUGAAGCAGCCACAAAUAGAUUUUCAGAAUAGUCAAUUGAUAAGGCAGUACGGACAAAAGCGAACAAAUACGUAUAAGAUAACAGGGAGAAAAAAAAGAAGUAAAGACUGAAGCAACCACAAAUAGAUUUUCAGCAUAGACAGUUGAUAAGGCGGUACAGACAAAAGGUGAACUGGAGAGUCCGCAAUAGAAGUUAAAAUAUAUUUAUAAAAAGAAGGGUGAACUGAAUAGUCUAAAUUCCAUUCACAAGCUUUGUCAUUUACUUCAAGACUGCUUAUAUUAAAACUGUUUCAUCCACAUUUCAGUUAGUCUGACAACCUACAGAAAAAAUUGAUGAAGCAGAUGGUUUAUUUAUUGAUAAGAAAAGAAGAUGGUUUAUCCGAGGUUUUUACACAUUAGUCAAUCACCUCAUUCUUGAAAGUGUGUUGACUUGAUAUUCUGCCCGUUAUUGUUUACUAACGACUAGAUAAAACGUGGUUACAGCAACCCUUAUCUACAUCGACUUAGUUUAUGGAGCAUCAUUGUCAUUAUACUUAAUGUUAAAUUGAAUGUCUUGUAUUAGACUCUACAAGCUUCCACAUUGGUCAAUUCUUUUGAUAAGAGAUCAGAUACUUCCUAUAUUCUUAUGAGGAUAUAGUCACGAUUAAGUUAUUCGCUCAAUGUUAAUCUGGCUAUCAAUCAUGAUCCUCUGAUUCUCAGCAUUCAGAUCCCUGUUUGACGUUACGCUGACUUUUGUCUUUCAUAUCCGGCCUUCUUUACAGAAGGGCCAAGAAAAGCACCUAAAAAAUGAGCACAUUUAAAGACGUAUACAGGAAUUUUAUAAUGUACAAAUUACCGAUGAAGAGAUUGAGUUCUUAGUUAUAAAUAGCUCCCCUAAUAAAUUAGAAUCC
rnacentral:lncRNA from 1 species